rnacentral:rRNA from 1 species
UACGUAGGGGGCUAGCGUUAUCCGGAAUUACUGGGCGUAAAGGGUGCGUAGGUGGCCCAACAAGUCAGAGGUGAAAGGCUACGGCUCAACCGUAGUAAGCCUUUGAAACUGUAGGGCUUGAGUGCAGGAGAGGAAAGUAGAAUUCCCAGUGUAGCGGUGAAAUGCGUAGAUAUUGGGAGGAAUACCAGUUGCGAAGGCGGCUUUCUGGACUGUAACUGACACUGAGGCACGAAAGCGUGGGGAGCGAACAGGAUUAGAUACCCUGGUAGUCCACGCCGUAAACGAUGAGUACUAGGUGUCGGGGGUUACCCCCCUCGGUGCCGCAGCUAACGCAUUAAGUACUCCGCCUGGGAAGUACGCUCGCAAGAGUGAA